CUUUUUGUUCUGCUAUAUGCAGACGAUACGGUCCUAAUGUCUGAAUCAAAAGAAGACUUACAAAAAAUAUUAAACAAAUUUGGAGAGUACUGUAAUAUAUGGAAACUGAAGGUAAAUGUUAACAAAACCAAAGUCAUGGUAUUUUCCAGGGGAAGGCCUUGUGCAGAUUUAAAUUUUUCCUUAAAUGGGGCAGAUAUAGAUAUAGUUCAUGAAUUUAACUAUCUUGGUAUACUAUUUAGCAGGACCGGCAAUUUUAGUAAGGCAAUAAAAAAGCAAGCAGAGAAGGC
rnacentral:lncRNA from 1 species